AAGCGAAUUAGUCGAGUCACGUCCCUUUAUUUUUCUCCGCUAUCUCUGACAAAGUUGCCCAGACUCGAGUUUCAAGCAUUAAUCAGAAUCGCAUCCAAGCUAAGAUGUAUUAUCCUCAAUAAAGCCAGAAGAAUGACUUUGCGAAUUUAAACUCGUGUUUUACUGAUAGCGGCCCCGGCAAAUCCGGGAAACACCUAAUUAUUCAUAACUAACGUGAUCAUACUUUGUCAGUUUUAUGAAGACGUAUUUUUAACAUUCGUUCGAAAGAACACUAACAUGGGAUAUAGCCCACAAAUGAGCGAAGAGAUUGUUCCCGAACCGCUGAUGUGGCGACGUCAGAACGACUUGCUUAGAUGGUUAUAACACGUCCAAGUUACGAAGACCUCUCUUAACAUUUCUUACUUCUGACUAUUCUUAGUUUUAUACUCGCGAGAGCGGUUUGUCGGUGUCUUUCGAAGUUGGUGUCUGUGUAACGACCCGAAUGAACGAGCAUGAAGUCUGUCAAGAAUGGUAAACAAAGGUGGAACCACACCUAGCUCUUGCGAAGUUGUCGAAGCCAAUCGUUCCAAGCCGUGGAGUCCCGUGGGGGCUAUCCUGUCGGAAUGGUAAUAGAGCUGCAAUGCCAUUCAAAUUUUAUAGACCCUAAUAUGAACACUCGCUUUAGGGUUACGCCUUUAGCAACAAUUUGACAUUAAUUGGAUUUUGAAAUGUAGAAUGGAAAGUAUUAAUGUAAGUUGGCUUAAUUACAAGUUUUAUUGAUA